rnacentral:misc_RNA from 1 species
AGCUGGAUCAUUUUCCGAUAUCCAAAACUUUUUCAAAAAAAACCCACAGGGUCCCCGCCUCCCGGCCUUUAUGAGGGGGAGGUAUCACGGGCGAGACCACCAAAACAACCACAAAUUCGUGCGCCUCAUGUGCGCUACGGAUCUGCCUCUCGGAGCGCGACGCCUCUCUGUGUGUGCGCGCCGAGCACGGCUUCCACAACGUGUCGCGAUGGAUGACUUGGCUUCCCAUUUCGUUGAAGAACGCAGCAAAGUGCGAUAAGUGGUAUCAAUUGCAGAAUCACCCAGUACCGAAUCUUUGAACGCAAAAGGCGCCCGAGAGAAGCUGUUCACCAGCGAACCUCGUGCAUGCCGCAACUCUCAGUGUCGAACAAAAAACAACUGCGCCCGCAGGAGGAAGGCUCGUUCUUCUCUUUUUGUGGGGUCCCGCAGACGAGAGCCCUGGACCUCGCGCUCAGACUCACCUCUGGGCGCGGCCAGGCGGCUGCCGGCGCGUGCGCUGUUUUACAGCAUGCGAGCCACAAACAGGCAGCAAGAGGCUCCCCGUGCGCGCGUGCGAUAGUGGUUCACUCCAUUUUCGUGCGUCGUGUGCGCAGCCAACAAGCGAAACAAAAAGCCAAUGCAAAUUGCGUCUUUUUCGUUCUCUCUCAACCAACGAGCGUGAAAGAACUCACCUUCUUUCCCUCCGUUCACAGACCUGAGUGCGGCAGGACUACCCGCUUAACUUAAGCAUAUUACUCAGCGGAGGAAAAGAAAACAACCGUGAUUCCCUCAGUCAGCGGCGAGCGAAGAGGGACCGAACUCGAUGCCGAAUCGGGCCUCAACGGCCUUGAGUUGUGGCAGACGACCCUCGGUGGAUGGUGCGGGACUGGCGAAAUUCAAUGUGCAAAGCAAACCCUGCUGAACACAACCCUUCAUGUGAGUAUUGAGCCAUAGAAGGUGGUAGCCCAUUGAGCCAGGAGCCCGAGCGCCUAAUUGUGGGCUCACAGCGAGUAGCACUGCUUGGGAAUGCAGUGUCAAGCGGCAGGUAUUUGUCUGCCAAGGUUAAACACAGAGUGGGAAGACCGAUAUCGAACAAGUAGCGUGAGCGAAAGUUUGAAAAGCACUUUGGAAAGAGAGUGACAUAGAACCUGAAGUCGUGACAAUGACAAUGGAAGUACCUCCAUUUCUCUGGCCAAAACCAGCCCUACAGCAUUCUCCGGCGUGGCCUUGGCCGCGUCGGGCAACAAGUGCCGACAAGGGGCUCUGGUGAAACGAGCGGAGAUAAAGUUGGGAGCACAGCCUAGCUGCGAGCCCCGUCUUCUCCGUGAUGCUCAAUGUUGGCAAACCGAAAUGGGGUGCCUUCACCCGUCUUGAAACACGGACCAAGGAGUCAAACAGACGCGCAAGGGAGAAGAUAUCGUUGCCAGUACUUCUCUCGUACUGAAAGGGUUUCCUUUUGGUGUGCACACAACACGAAUGCCCAACACCGACCGGCCCCCCGUGGGUUGAGUUUGAGUGUGCCUGUUUGGACCCGAAAGGUGGUGAACUAUGCCUGAACAAGGUGAAGCCCGGGGAAACCCAGGUGGAGGCCUGUAGCGAUGCUGACGUGCAAAUCGCUCGCAUGAUUUGGGUAUCGGAGCGAAAGACUCAUCGAACCACCUAGUAGCUGGUUCACAU